rnacentral:rRNA from 1 species
CCUACGGGGGACAGCAGUGGGGAAUAUUGCACAAUGGGGGAAACCCUGAUGCAGCGACGCCGCGUGAGUGAAGAAGUAUUUCGGUAUGUAAAGCUCUAUCAGCAGGGAAGAAAAUGACGGCACCUGAUUAAGAAGCCCCGGCUAACUACGUGCCAGCAGCCGCGGGAAUACGUAGGGGGCAAGCGUUAUCCGGAUUUACUGGGUGUAAAGGGAGCGUAGACGGCAGCACAAGUCUGGAGUGAAAUGCCGGGGCUUAACCCCGGAACUGCUUUGGAAACUGUGCAGCUAGAGUGCAGGAGAGGUAAGUGGAAUUCCUAGUGUAGCGGUGAAAUGCGUAGAUAUUAGGAGGAACACCAGUGGCGAAGGCGGCUUACUGGACUGUAACUGACGUUGAGGCUCGAAAGCGUGGGGAGCAAACAGGAUUAGAUACCCCAGUAGUC